AGGGAGAGAGAGGUUAGUAAGAAGGAUUAUGCCAAUUGUGAUGAUGUUGAAUAUGUUUUCUCCCAUCUUUACUCUAUAUCUGUAUCGGUCUAUGUUUCUCACCUCUUUCUUCUUAUCAGUUCUUCUAUGUCAUUUCAACUGCUAUUCCUUCUAAUUCUGUAUAGUAAGGGCAAUACUAUAAGUGAGUUUAUUUGCGUGCGAUUUGGUUAUUUUAAGUUUGUUAUAUUGAUGCUUUCAUCCAGACGUCUCUAAUGGUGGACCAAAAAGUACUCAAGGCUUUCGUCGAUGACUCAAUUCGUGAUUCAAUUCAAGAAAUGAAGGAUUCGCUUUCUAAGGAUUUCGCCGAUAUUCGUUUGUUGUUAAUGGAGCUAGUGGGGAAAAAGUCUACAACCUCCAUUCCACCCCGGGAUCCAGCAAUCCGCAGUCCGGCAAUACCUACUCUUCGUGACAACCCAGUUUCAGUGGAAUUAAGGCGGUUUCGUGGUGGAAAUUCGGAGGCUUAGGUUUUAGAGGCGGAGAGGUAUUUUGAAUUUUACUCCAUUGCCGACAAAUUUAAACUCCCUUUAGCAUCAUCUUACUUGGAUGGCGAAGCUUUAGCAUGGUUUCAGUGGCUAUAUCGGAACAAACAAUUCGUCCACUGGAAGCAUUUUAUGGAGAAACUGAAGCUGCAUUAUCGCAAAUGGAUUCCCCCUGCUUCAAUAGGGUGUUCAACUGAUUUCCAAUUUUACUCUAAUUGUUCGGAAACAUUAGCACUACCAGAGACCUAUGUAAGUCCUCUAACUGCUAAGAGUAAUGUUUCCAACUUUUGUGAGUUUGAAUCAAUUUUUGAAGAUGGUAACUCAGAGGUCAAGCAUAUGUUCGAUGAAAUGCCUACUAAAGGCUUUCCCAAAGCAAUUGAGGAAAUUUGUUCUGUUACAGUUGCGUGCCACGACACAAAUGCAAAUAUACAUACCUCUAACUUUGCAGCUAAUUUGGACGAUAAUCACUCACCUAAGAUUUUCGACAAAAUAUUACAUAGCUGCUUUCCAAAGUAAUCGUCGAGGCACAAUCAGAUGCUCCAAUCAACGAUGAAGAAGCUACAGAUAGCGAUACCCAAUGGUUGGCUAAAAGUACUCAACGAGAUACUGCCGAACAACUCAGUCACUUUGCAGCUAUGAUUUUGGAUCCUUUUGCUAGCUUGGUCCCAUGUUAUAACUUUCCUAUUGGUCUAACACUUGAUGACCUGUUAAUGUUAAUUUGGACUAUGAUCAUAUGCUUGAUACUUGUUAUUACUGUCAUACGAAGGUUUGUGCUUCUCUCUACUAUGCGUCUGAAGCAACAACAGGGACUAUCCCAUUUUGUAGUUGUGUGGACAAUUGGUUCGACAUAGGGCAAUAUUUUAGGGCUGCUUCAUAUGUGCUUUUAACUGUUGAAUCUGCAGAUUUAAAACAAAUUGAGGGAUUCACUCCAUUUAUCACCCAAACAGAGUUAGGCGGUGAAUAUGGCGAGAGUGCAGAGUUUUUCAGUUGCUGAGUAGAUCAACUAUUUGUAUCCUUGGUGCCUGCUGAUUUUUGGAAUGUCGCCACACAUAAAAGCAUGAACAAUGGAGUGGAAUUAUCUGUAUGCCAAGUUUUGGGAGAUACACAAAUUUCUGUAGUGCCACAUGAACAUCUGGAACGAGAUAUGCCAACGAGAGAAGGAGGCCGCCAUUCUGACGUGUGUAGUGCAUUAUGUAAAGUACUUAUUGAAGAUGAUAAUGGAAGUUCUACUGGGGAAUUCAAUGAUCUAUGUAUUUUGGGUCAAUUUCCAUUUAAUCCUGCUGCUAAAUUCCUUAUAGUAACCAUUUACGCAACUGCGCCGACUCUUAGUGUAUGGGAUCCUGGAAUAAGUUUCGUGUUCUUGGCUCUAACCGAUUCUAUAGAGUACAUGAUGGUCUUACCAUUGCUGGAAUAUAUUAGCAGGUUGUGCUUCAUCGCAUAUUCCAACUCUAAGACUAGAGUGUGGGAUCCCGGACAACUAUGAUUUGUGAAAUCAUACAAUUUGCAAUCUCCUUUCGCAUUGUUAGUUACUACUUUACCAAGUUUAGCUCACUUCUAUAUUGCUGAUUGGAUUUGUGUGAGGUCUCAAUCACCCCUGGCCAUUGCUUUACCUGGUAGCUAUUCUUAUGCUGACACAAACCAAAAUUUUCUUCUCUGUUCACCAAAGAUAGCCUUCUUACCUCUUGUAACUAAUUCUUCUGGAGAAUUAAUUUUGGCCAAGGAUGACAUUGAGUUGUUAAGAAACAUCAAUUGCAAGAGUACACGAGCUGCUAUACUUGGGGAUGUGCUUGAACUCGGUCCAACAGAAUAUAUGUAUAAUGAGUUGAUGUUACAGUUAUGUUGUGAUGCCCAUCUUAAUGUAUUUGCACUUGUUGGAACGAGAGUUUUCACUGCAGCUGAGAAUAUAAAUUGUGCCGACGAGAUAAAACUGGUAUGCACCAAUGGUGCUCAUUGCAUGACUUCCAAAGUUAUCAAUUAUCUAAUUAAUGGUGAUGGCAUCCAUGUCCAAGGCAGUAGUCAAAGGCAAUUGGGAGUGACUUUGGCUUUUGUCAACUUUAUAUUUCCUACAGAACUAUGUCGUGCAAUAGUGAGAAAGAAUAAGUCAACUGAAUCAUCGCUCUUGAGUUCGAAUCUUUGGAAAAUGAGCGAAAUAUGUGCAUCCAUUCUUGGCGGUGAUUAUAUGUCAAGUUUACACCAGGUUGCUCUCCUUCUAUCAGGCUGUAUAUGCAACAAUGUUUUAUUUGGGGAAAAUUAUGAUCCAAAGUUCUAUUGGAAGGCACUACUAAAUAAUUUCUUUACCUCCAAUCUAUCCUUGAUGUUGCUGAAAGUUGCUAUGAUCCUAUGUGGACAAGGAGCCAUGUUACAGCACCCCAUGAUUAUCAUUCUUCUUAAAGCCAUCACUACUCUUGCUGCUGGUUCGGAAAGAAUUGGCCAAGAAGCUUAAGUCAAGUGUGACUCUCUCCCUGCCAAGAUUCUAACUUGUUGUCUUCGGAUUUGUGGUGACAUGGAACCAAAGGUUGUCAAUACUACAGUGGCCACCAUCUCAUGCCCCGUUGACAAAGUUGUGAUAGUUCACAUAGUCUUCUUCUAUUUCCCAGAACACUUUUGUCUAGAGACAUUUGGCGGAGAGUGCGUUGCUAAUACUAUUAUUGGCUCGAACCUUGAGGACAAGGUUCUUUUUUAGGGCGGGAGUAUUGUUGUGAACCAAGCUGAAUCCGUAAGAGCCCAUGGGCUAGAAGAAGUGAAUAAGGCUGAGUCAAUUGGGAUUAUUGGGCUGAGUAAAAUAUUGAAGAGUUUUAUUUGGAAUCCAGGACCAUUAGCAAAUGGUUAAAAAGGGACAAGAGGUUAGUAAGAAGAAUUAUGCGAAUUGUGAUGUUGAAUAUGUUCUCUUUCAUUUUUGCUCUGUAUCACUGAUUUCCUCAUCCCCUUCGGUAUCGGUCUCUGUUUCUCACCUCUUUCUUCUUAUCAGUUCUUCUUUGUCAUUUCAAUUGCUAUUCCUUGUAAUUCUGUUUAGUAAGGGCAAUACUACAAGUGCGUUUACUUGUGUGCGAAUUGGUUAUUUCAAGUUUGUUACAGCGCAGAUCCUUGGUGUAACCCCAUAACCACUGGGAAAGGCUCUGAGUCCUCUCCCACAGUCCUAACCUGAGUUUUAGCUCCAUCAUACAUAUCUUUUAUCGCCCGAAUAUAAGCUACCGAUACACCUUUCACCUCUAGACAUCUCCAAAGAACGUCCUAGGGACCUUGUCGUACGCCUUCUCUAGGUCAAUAAACACCAUGUGUAAAUCCCUCUUCCUAUCCCUGUACUGUUCCACCAACCUCCUGAUGAGGUGAAUUGCUUCCGUAGUAGAACGACCCGGCAUGAACCCAAACUGGUUCUAUGAUAUAGACACUGUACUCCUUGCCCUCCCUUCCACCACCCUCUCCCAAACUUUCAUGGUAUGACUAAGUAGCUUGAUACCCUAUAUGCUUUCUUUUCAUGUACUAUUUUUAAAAUGUGUACCCUGAAUUAUACUAACAUGUCUUCUGUAUUUGUCAAGUCUUAUAGAAGCUAAUUAAUGUUGUGUUUCGAUGUGAAUAUGAUGCGAGAAGGAAGAUGGCUUCGAUGUACGGCAUGGGAAGAAAGUGAUUUACAGAUUUAUUUUAUCCUAUGCAGUCUUUGAUGAAAUUUAAUUCUGUGAAUGAUAGGGUAGAUAUUUUAUAUGAAGUGCCGAUAUCAAAAUAUAUAUUGUGCAUGCUGUUAUGAUUAAGAAAAGCAUAUCUUUUAAGGUUAUAGUUAUUAUUCUUUUGCCAAAAUGCAUAUUAGUUGGUAAUUAAUACAUAUGUUAAUAGAUGCACACUUAUGUGAAAUUUACUUUCAUGUGUACUAAAAUAAUAUAGAGUAUAUAAUUUGAAAGAAUCAUAUAGUUAUUAUACUUCAAUGCGUUUUGUCAUUUUGAGAUCAUAAAGUAACUUGAUGUUUUAUUUAGACAUUUUUCUUGUAAUAUAUUUUGUGGGUAACGGAUACCUCGAGUUGAAAGAUCACGGACAGUAUAAUUCUUGUUUCAGCUGAGAUGCGUGCAUUAGCCUUGGAGGUUCAAUCGUUGGCUAAUUGGCGUGUCAUAAUGGAUUUUUCAGUAACAAGAAAAGUUUUUGCCUGUAUGUUUAUCACUAGCCUAAAUUGCCUUUAUCAGGUAUUAUUAAUUUCGAAACCUUUUCAGAUUCCUAUUUCUUUAGGCUAAGUUUCAAAUAGAAUCUGUAAGUAUAGCGUUUGGAAUGAGCUUUUUCAUACUUAUUCGUUUUGCAAAUUGACAUAUAGAAUAAUUGAUGGCGCAUAGGUUGCUGAGAGAUGCAGAAGCUGAUGGAUGAGAACAUUCUGAUUUCCCUAUUAUAUCCGAGUCGUGUCUUGGCAACAGUCCUUACGUGCGGAUGACAAAAGCAGAUUAUGACAAGGAGUGCAAGAUCUCCACACGACCCUUCACAGUGUUUAGUGGAGGCCUGGUCAGGAUGCGAGAUACAAAAGACUGAGAUUUGUCAGACCUGCAGCAAAUUGAAGAAUGUUUGUCAAGUUUGCCUGUUGGAUCUUGAAUAUGGUUUGCCAGUUCAUGUCCGAGACACUGCUCUCAGUAGCAACUCUAAUGAUGCCAUCUUGAAAAGUUACGUAAAUAGAGAAUAUUUUGCAGAGGAGCAUGACCGCAGGGUAUGUGAAUUACUAAGUGGAAGCACAAUGUGUUGUUAUGACAUGCUAUUUAACUCAUUACUUGCAGGGCAAUUUAAUGCUUCAAGAGUCAAUGAUCCAGUGGCUUUAAAGCUACUUAAUAAAGCAGGUGAAAUGCCUUCAAUGGAGGCCCCUGAUGACGAGAGCAUUAGGACCGUCUAUGUGGGUGGUGUUGAUGAAAGAAUCAUUGAACAAGACCUUAGGGACCACUUUUAUGCAGAUGGUGAAAUUGAGUCUAGCAAAAUGGUGGUCCAGUAUGUUUGUGCUUUCGCAACAACGUAUACAACCAGAGAAGGUGCAGACAAAUCAGCUCAGGAACUAGCAAACAAGCUGGUGAUAAAGGGCCUGAGACUGAAGCUACUCUGGUGAAGACCUCAAGCUCCUAAGCCAGAGUCCGAGAUCUCUGAUGAAGCAAGGCAGCAAGCUGUUGUGGCUCUCAGUGGAUUGUUGCCUAGGGUAGUCAUAUCACAGCAGCAGAAUCAGCCUCUUCUGGACCAACCCCCAUCCAUGCCUUGCUUCAACAUACCCCCAAUGCCUCAACAAGACAGACCAUAUUAUCCAUCAAUGGAUCCACAAAGGAUGGGAGCCCUAGUCCAAUCCCAGGAGGGGCUUCUCCUCAAGGUCAAUUUUACCCACCUUAUUAUCCACCCUAUGGGUAUACGCCACCACCUCUACCAUAUCAACAGUAUUAUCCUCAACCUUAUCAAGCUACAACCCCACUCCACCUGGUGGUCAGCAAGCCACACAUCAGCAGCAGCGGCACAACAACCUUAAUCUUUUGCAGUUUUGGCAGGCAUCUGCAAUCGGGAAGAAUCAAUGUAAACAUGGCCAGCAAUUUAGCCAUUUUGAAUUAAGUAUUGAUUCUGUUGUGCCAAUCAAUUUUUGGGUGUUAGGUUUCUCGUCACUGCCAAUUUGGUUCUAUUCAAGUUUCCUACACUAUGACCUCA